UGUUUCAAACCUCUUUCUUUUUGUUCCCCAGCACUGCUAGGACAUGAAAGAGGAGGGUGUGGAGGAGAGGAGAGUGCCUGUAAAGUAAAGGUGAUUAUGACCUAGUCUCUCUCAUCACUGAGACUUGGAACUCACGGAAUAAUGUACUGGGGAAUUUCUUAAUGACAUUCUGGCUUCUACAGAGGGAUGAAGUGACACAGCUCUUCAUAUUGAUGAAAGAAAAAUACAGAGGAGCCUUCCACUGAGAGUGCUGGGAUAAGGAACGCUGCCCUGCCAUUGUUCCAUGUGCAUGUCACAGCUCGGUUGUAAAGAGAAGAUACAGUUAUAAGCAAAUGGAAGAAAAAGAGAUGUAGACAGCAAUUGAGAGAAGCAAUUGAAGAUGGAAACAGAGCUGGACAACCAUAGUGGAGAAAUGAAGAAGAGAGGGGACCCACCUGAGGUCCAGAUAGUACGAGAUUCAAAAAAACCUCAUGUUGUAUUUUGGAGAUUUAUCAUCAAAUUUCUCUCAUACUGGAGCUUCCAAAGUGAAUCACUGCUGUCUACUGCAGACCCAGCUCCUGACCAGGGCCCCCCAGCUGAGAAAACUAGGUGGAGCCACAGUUCGGAGGAGCCGAGGGGAAGGGCAAUGACCGCCAGGACUUUGGGAGAAGGGAUGAUGCUGAUAGCAAAGCCUUUCUUUCUUAUGGGGCUGAAGUGA
rnacentral:lncRNA from 1 species